UAGAUAGAGAGCAACAGAGAGAGAGAUAGAUAGAGAGCAACAGACAGACAGAGAGAUAGAUAGGGAGCAACAGACAGAUAGAUAGAUAGGGAGCAACAGAGAGAGAGAGAGAGAGAUAGAUAGGGAGCAACAGAGAGAGAGAGAGAGAUAGAUAGGGAGUAACAGAGAGAGAGAGAUAGAUAGAGAGCAACAGACAGACAGAGAGAUAGAUAGAGAGCAACAGACAGACAGAGAGAUAGAUAGGGAGCAACAGAGAGAGAGAGAGAUAGAUAGGGAGCAACAGAGAGAGAGAGAGAGAUAGAUAGGGAGCAACAGAGAGAGAGAGAGAUAGAUAGGGAGCAACAGAGAGAGAGAGAGAGAGAGAUAGAUAGGGAGCAACAGAGAGAGAGAGAGAGAUAGAUAGGGAGCAACAGAGAGAGAGAGAGAGCAACAGAGAGAGAUAGAGAGAGAGAGAUAGAGAGAGAGCAACAGAGAGAGAGAGAUAGAUAGGGAGCAACAGAGAGAGAGAGAGAGAGAUAGAUAGGGAGCAACAGAGAGAGAGAGAUAGAUAGGGAGCAACAGAGAGAGAGAGAGAGAGAGAGAGAUAGAUAGGGAGCAACAGAGAGAUAGAUAGGGAGCAACAGACAGACAGAGAGAUAGAUAGAGAGCAACAGACAGAGAGAGAGAUAGAUAGGGAGCAACAGAGAGAGAGAGAGAGAUAUAUAGAUAGGGAGCAACAGAGAGAGAGAUAGAUAGGGAGCAACAGAGAGAGAGAGAGAGGAUGUUCCUAUUUUCGAAGUCUUUUUGGAACUCUAGCUCGACCUGGAAAGCGUGCGGGAGUGCACCAGUCACAGUAUUUCCG
ensembl:lncRNA